rnacentral:rRNA from 1 species
CGCGUAGGCGGCGGACCGAGUCGAGUGUGAAAGCCCCGGGCUCAACCUGGGAGGUGCGCUCGAGACUGGCCCGCUGGAGUUCGGGAGAGGAGCGUGGAAUUCCCAGUGUAGAGGUGAAAUUCGUAGAUAUUGGGAAGAACACCGGUGGCGAAGGCGGCGCUCUGGACCGAGACUGACGCUGAGGCGCGAAAGCGUGGGGAGCAAACAGGAUUAGAUACCCUGGUAGUCCACGCUGUAAACGAUGUGUGCUAGACGUUGGGGAGCGUAGCUCUUCGGUGUCGCCGCAAACGCUUUAAGCACACCGCCUGGGGAGUACGGCCGCAAGGUUAAA